rnacentral:rRNA from 1 species
UACGAAGGGGGCUAGCGUUGCUCGGAAUCACUGGGCGUAAAGGGUGCGUAGGCGGGUCUUUAAGUCAGGGGUGAAAUCCUGGAGCUCAACUCCAGAACUGCCUUUGAUACUGAAGAUCUUGAGUUCGGGAGAGGUGAGUGGAACUGCGAGUGUAGAGGUGAAAUUCGUAGAUAUUCGGAAGAACACCAGUGGCGAAGGCGGCUCACUGGCCCGAUUCUGACGCUGAGGCGCGAAAGCGUGGGGAGCAAACAGG